AAGUGUGCCACCUCUUUUGAUGUAUAUGCAGCUAGUACAAAUUUCUAUGGUAGAUUUUAGAUAGAAAGGGAAAUACCGUAUCCAAAUCUGGACUUCUGGAGCUUCAUGGGCUUAUUGUCCAUUGUGUCCACCAACUCAACGUCCAUUGUGAGCUCAGUGUCGGACUUGAACCAAUGAACUGUAGCAGCAGGAACGACUUUCCAUUUGCGAACACCUACAUAGCCAUCCAAAUAAGAUCAUAGAUCUCCCCAAAAACAAGAAGAUUGAAGGCUAACUGAUGCAUCUGUUCUGGGCGUGAGUGGCAGGUAAAGUAGAUAGAUGUAUUGUACAGAUAUGGAGAAAAGGUGAGAGCAAGGUACCAUGUCGAUUAAUUGAAGCUGAGUUUUGUUCCACUGUUCUGCCUACUGUAUACCUCCAGUCCCUUCUCCUGUCAAACUCGUGAAUAUAGCAACAGCACAGGAAGGUGUAGGCUUUCAGAGAUGAGGUUGAAUAUAGCAACAACAAAAAAUAAUUGGACAUCAGGAAGCAGGUGAACCGAGGCAUGUCCCGACGUCGGCAGCGCCCUCCAUUAAUCUGCUAGGCCGGGGGCGCAGAGGCCCACUUGCGGGAGAGGCAGGG
rnacentral:lncRNA from 1 species